rnacentral:rRNA from 1 species
AAUGAACGCUGGCGGCAGGCCUAAAACAUGCAAGUCGAACGCCCUAGCAAUAGGGAGUGGCGCACGGGUGAGUAACAUGUGGGAAUAUGCCUUUUGGUACGGAACAACGUUUGGAAACGAACGCUAAUACCGUAUGGUCCCUCCGGGGUAAAGAUUUAUCGCCAAAAGAUUAGCCCGCACUAGAUUAGCUAGUUGGUAAGGUAAUGGCUUACCAAGGCGACGAUCUAUAGCUGCUCUGAGAGGAAGAUCAGCCACACUGGGACUGAGACACGGCCCAGACUCCUACGGGAGGCAGCAGUUAGGAAUAUUGAACAAUGGGCGCAAGCCUGAUCCAGCCAUGUCGCGUGAGUGAUGAAGGCCUUCGGGUUGUAAAGCUCUUUAGCCGACGAAUAUAAUGACUGUAGUCGGAGAAUAAGCCCCGGCUAACUUCGUGCCAGCCGCCGCCGUAAAAC